ACCCUCUCAGGGUUGCACCUGGAGAGUUUCCACUAUUCUACUAGUUUCAACUACGGGAGGGAGAGUCAAGCAGAGGCCUACCCAUUCCAUUCCUAGCUUGGCCAGUGGCUAGUGAGUGGAAUGCAAUCGGCUACAAGU